UCGAGAAUUUUUCACAAUGGGGGAAACCCUGAUGGAGCGACGCCGCGUGGGGGAUGAAUGGCUUCGGCCCGUAAACCCCUGUCAUUUGCGAACAAACCUUUCCAUCGAACAAGUGGAAAGCUGAUUGUAACGGAAGAGGAAGGGACGGCUAACUCUGUGCCAGCAGCCGCGGUAAUACAGAGGUCCCAAGCGUUGUUCGGAUUCACUGGGCGUAAAGGGUGCGUAGGUGGUCGGGUAAGUCUGAUGUGAAAUCUCGGAGCUCAACUCCGAAACUGCAUUGGAUACUAUCCGGCUAGAGGGUCGGAGGGGGGACUGGAAUUCUCGGUGUAGCAGUGAAAUGCGUAGAUAUCGAGAGGAACACCAGUGGCGAAGGCGAGUCCCUGGACGACUCCUGACACUGAGGCACGAAAGCUAGGGGAGCAAACAGGAUUAGAUACCCCCGUAGUCC
rnacentral:rRNA from 1 species